rnacentral:rRNA from 1 species
UACGAGGGGGGCGAGGGUUGUUCGGAAUUAUUGGGCGUAAAGGGUGCGCAGGCGGUUUGGUAAGUCUUGUGUGAAAUCUACAGGCUCAACUUGUAGUCUGCACGAGAAACUGCCGGGCUUGAGUGUGGGAGAGGUGAGUGGAAUUCCUGGUGUAGCGGUGAAAUGCGUAGAUAUCAGGAGGAACACCUGUGGCGAAAGCGGCUCACUGGACCAUAACUGACGCUGAUGCACGAAAGCUAGGGGAGCAAACAGG